rfam:Nicotiana attenuata strain TT chromosome 2, whole genome shotgun sequence.
AGAUUAAGAGCAUGUCAAGAUAGCCAGGAUGACCUGCCUGCAACCAAAUGGAUAGGAUCCUUUUUUCUUUAAAAAAAUAAAAAUUUACAAAUGGAGUAGGCAAGUCAUCCUUGGCUGCUAAACAAUACUCUUAACU